rnacentral:rRNA from 1 species
CAGCGCCACGAGUGGUAACCACGUUUAUUGGGCCUAAAGCGUCCGUAGCCGGUUUAGUAAAUCUUUUGUGAAAUUGUGCGGCUCAACCGUACAACGUGCAAGAGACACUGCUAAACUUGAGACCGGGAGGAGUCAGAAGUAUUCCAGGGGGAGCGGUAAAAUGUUAUAAUCCCUGGAGGACUACCUGUGGCGAAGGCGUCUGACCAGAACGGAUCUGACGGUGAGGGACGAAAGCCAGGGGAGCGAACCGGAUUAGAUACCCGAGUAGUCC